rnacentral:rRNA from 1 species
GAUGAACGCUGGCGGCGUGCCUAAUACAUGCAAGUCGAGCGAACGGACGAGAAGCUUGCUUCUCUGAUGUUAGCGGCGGACGGGUGAGUAACACGUGGAUAACCUACCUAUAAGACUGGGAUAACUUCGGGAAACCGGAGCUAAUACCGGAUAAUAUUUUGAACCGCAUGGUUCAAAAGUGAAAGUCGGUCUUGCUGUCACUUAUAGAGGGAUCUGCGCUGCAUUAGCUGGUUGGUAAGGUAACGGCUUACCAAGGCAACGAUGCGUAGCCGAACUGAGAGGGGGAUAGGCCACACUAGAACUGGAACACGGUCCAGACUCCUGCGGGAGGCAGCAGUAGGGAACCUUCGGCAGUGGGCGAAAGCCUGACGGAGCAACGCCGCGUGAGUGAUGAAGGUCUUCGGAUCGUAAAAAUCUGUUAUGAGGGAAGAACAUAUGUGUAAGUAACUGUGCACAUCUUGACGGUACCUAAUCAGAAAGCCACGGCUAACUACGUG